rnacentral:rRNA from 1 species
UACAGAGGUGGCAAGCGUUGUUCGGAAUUACUGGGCGUAAAGGGCGCGUAGGCGGUCCGAUAAGUCCUGUGUGAAAUCCCUCGGCUCAACUGAGGAACUGCACGGGAGACUGCCGGGCUUGAGUUCGGGAGAGGGAAGCGGAAUUCCGGGUGUAGCGGUGAAAUGCGUAGAUAUCAGGAGGAACACCGGUGGCGAAGGCGGGUCUCUGGGCCGAUACUGACGCUGAGGAGCGAAAGCGUGGGGAGCGAACAGG